rnacentral:rRNA from 1 species
UACAGAGGGCUCAAGCGUUGUUCGGAUUCAUUGGGCGUAAAGGGUGCGUAGGCGGUGAGGUAAGUCGGAUGUGAAAUCCCGGGGCUUAACCCCGGAACUGCAUUCGAUACUGCCUUGCUUGAGCACUGGAGAGGAGACUGGAAUUUACGGUGUAGCAGUGAAAUGCGUAGAUAUCGUAAGGAAGACCAGUGGCGAAGGCGAGUCUCUGGACAGUUGCUGACGCUGAGGCACGAAGGCCAGGGGAGCAAACGGG